UGGGGAAUAUUGCACAAUGGGCGCAAGCCUGAUGCAGCCAUGCCGCGUGUGUGAAGAAGGCCUUCGGGUUGUAAAGCACUUUCAGCGAGGAGGAAGGUGGUGAGCUUAAUACGCUCAUCAAUUGACGUUACUCGCAGAAGAAGCACCGGCUAACUCCGUGCCAGCAGCCGCGGUAAUACGGAGGGUGCAAGCGUUAAUCGGAAUUACUGGGCGUAAAGCGCACGCAGGCGGUUUGUUAAGUCAGAUGCGAAAUCCCCGGGCUCAACCUGGGAACUGCAUUUGAAACUGGCAAGCUAGAGUCUCGUAGAGGGGGGUAGAAUUCCAGGUGUAGCGGUGAAAUGCGUAGAGAUCUGGAGGAAUACCGGUGGCGAAGGCGGCCCCCCUGGACGAAGACUGACGCUCAGGUGCGAAAGCGUGGGGCAGCAAACAGGAUUAGAUACCCUGGUAGUCCACGCUGUAAACGAUGUCGAUUUGGAGGUUGUGCCCUUGAGGCGUGGCUUCCGGAGCUAACGCGUUAAAUCGACCG
rnacentral:rRNA from 1 species